rnacentral:rRNA from 1 species
UCGGGAAUUUUGGGCAAUGGGGGAAACCCUGACCCAGCAACGCCGCGUGAAGGAUGAAGUAUUUCGGUAUGUAAACUUCGAAAGAAUAGGAAGAAUAAAUGACGGUACUAUUUAUAAGGUCCGGCUAACUACGUGCCAGCAGCCGCGGUAAUACGUAGGGGCCAAGCGUUGUUCGGAUUUACUGGGCGUAAAGGGCGCGUAGGCGGCAUGACAAGUCACUUGUGAAAUCUCUGGGCUUAACCCAGAACGGCCAAGUGAUACUGUCGCGCUAGAGUGCAGAAGGGGCAAUCGGAAUUCUUGGUGUAGCGGUGAAAUGCGUAGAUAUCAAGAGGAACACCUGAGGUGAAGACGGGUUGCUGGGCUGACACUGACGCUGAGGCGCGAAAGCCAGGGGAGCAAACGGGAUUAGAUACCCUUGUAGUCCCUGAGCGGGCUGGCAAGGCGCAU